AGUGAACGCUGGCGGUAGGCCUAACACAUGCAAGUCGAACGGCAGCACAGUAAGAGCUUGCUCUUACGGGUGGCGAGUGGCGGACGGGUGAGGAAUACAUCGGAAUCUACUUUUUCGUGGGGGAUAACGUAGGGAAACUUACGCUAAUACCGCAUACGACCUACGGGUGAAAGCAGGGGAUCUUCGGACCUUGCGCGAUUGAAUGAGCCGAUGUCGGAUUAGCUAGUUGGCGGGGUAAAGGCCCACCAAGGCGACGAUCCGUAGCUGGUCUGAGAGGAUGAUCAGCCCCCCUGGAACUGAGACACGGUCCAGACUCCUACGGGAGGCAGCAGUGGGGAAUAUUGGACAAUGGGCGCAAGCCUGAUCCAGCCAUACCGCGUGGGUGAAGAAGGCCUUCGGGUUGUAAAGCCCUUUUGUUGGGAAAGAAAAGCAGCAGGUUAAUACCCCGCUGCUCUGACGGUACCCAAAGAAUAAGCACCGGCUAACUUCGUG
rnacentral:rRNA from 1 species